rnacentral:lncRNA from 1 species
GAGAAAUGCUUGCAUUUAGAUGUGAAAUGGAAUUAGGUUCUGGGCUGAGAUAAUUAUAGUUUUCAGCUACAUGGAUAUUCAGCCACAUAUUUGAAAAUCAUAUGGGCCAUAGGUGAUUUUUCACCUUGUGGGGCUGGAGUGAGCAACACAGAAUGUCUGGCAGCCCAGACCACGAAAUUUCAACAGUGCUUCUCCAAUUCUUAAGAGAACUCAGCCUUUCCCCACUGGGAGAGGGGAAGAGAAGGCACCAAAUAUUUAUCAAUUAGCUAUAGUGGUCAAGCAGCGUGCCUCGCUGUUUACAGACAUUUGUACGCAAGCCAUGUGAUACCUCUAACUGGUGCACGCUCGAGUGCUCAUUUGACACAUGCAGGGAGUGAGGCCGGGAGCUUGCUGCAACUCACAGAGCCGGGCACACAGAAGACUUCACCUCCUAGUCUGCUUAGAGUUAGGCCGGGUCACAUGACUAGCUGUAGACCAGGAGGUGGAGUACAUGCGACACGCAUCACUUUGGGCUGACACGGUGAACCGCUCCUUUCCAGUUCUCUCUGCUCCUCUGUUCCUCUGUUGCAGCCUCUGAAGAGACACUGAGAUCAUAAGAGCACACUGAGUCACUGAGUCACCACGCGGAGGACAGUCACUCUGCAAUAUCCAAUUGAUCCAGCACCAUUUAUUUAAAAGAUGAUCUUCUUCCAAAGAAAUGGAACUAUGACCUUUGCCACAAGUCAGGUACUCAUACUAAGAGCUGUGGCUGUGGCUGGAACUUGGAAACAUCCUGAAAAUGAAAGCCAGUCUCUGCCAGGGGCUGCAAAACGGUGCGGUUAGAGUCCGAAAAGAGGGACGUCAAGGCUGCUGUGAACACGUCCAGGUGCAGACGGACUGGGCCUGGGCUUGCUUCUCUGGCUGGGUCUCCAUGGGAAACAUCCUAUGGUGAGGUCCUCAGCCUGCGCUUUGUGUCAGUAAAUUCCUCAAACAUAAACACUUCCUUGGCCGGAAGGAAGUCACCUGGUGGGGCCUGCGAGCAGAGUCCUGGAAGACGCAUCAACUCAACAGCGGCCCUGAAGGACCAGGGUGACCUGCUAAUGGGAAGCUCACGGUCCUCGCCUCCCCAGGAGUCACACAGCGGAUGCGGGACUUCCUCGUCUGGACGAAUAUUCUGGGUACAUACAUCUUUCUCAAUAAAGGAGUGUUGAGACCACAGGAACGAUCUAGAAUGCUGCCUCCUUUGUCUGCCAGGCUUUUUUCCUGAAGUUCUGCCUUCACAUUUAUCCUAAUUCUAAUCACUUUCUGUGAAAAUCUCUGCCUAUGCGGGAGCCACAGCUUUCUUUCAACGAUUUUCUGAGUUGAAUCUACUCCAUCUUCUCUUUAGUACCUGCUAAUUCAGCAGCACUUACCCUCUCCCUCUGUGUCCCAGGUGUGAGUAAGUCACUGGGAACUCACGAUGCUCAGGACGUGGCCUCUGCCCCGGCAGCCUGGCUCUACGGCGGGGUGGAUGCACCGACACUCAUGUGGUCAGGGGUAG